rnacentral:tRNA from 1 species
GGACCGGUCGUCUAGUUUGGUUUGGAUGACGCACUCACACUGCGUAAGGAGAAAUCCCGCAAAGGUCGUGGGUUCAAAUCCCAUCCGGUCCA